rnacentral:lncRNA from 10 species
UAACAUGUCGGUUCAAUGUAUGAAGGAGCUUUUCUUUCCCCUGCCCCAACCCUCAGACAGGAUUUUUGUCUGUUUUUCUCACUGUUGAAUCCCAAAAGCAAAGAAGAAUACCUAGCAUAGAGUUAGUGUUCAAGAAACAUUUGCUAAAUGGAUGAACACCUCUUCAUUUUAUGAGAAAUGAAUCUUCCCCAAGAAGGGGCUCCCGGGUGCAUCUUGUGUGUAGACAUCUCUAUGUCCCCAGGCUGCUGUAGAGCUGAGUCAUCUUUGUGCCCACACCUGGGAAGCAGGACCCUUGUUCGUGUUUCUUUGGCCUUGGGCAUGUCAGUGAGUAAGGAGGAUGUGUGGGAUCUGUGUCCAUAUUUACGUAAGAAAGCAAUAUAGAAUUCCCUCUAGACAGGCAUCUAUGCAUACGGAGCAAAAAAUGAUGUAUAUAAUAAUAAGUUUGAGGCACUGAAAGAUCUUGAAUGAGCUUCUGAAUCAUCAGUUACUGUAUCUUUGGGGAAGUGCUGUUGAAUGCUAGGGAUGAGUAGUGUGAUGACUACUCCAAAUUAAGACAAUAAGGCCAGUUUGACAAUCAGCAAUGUGCUAUGCAGCUGAACUGGAGGCACAGUGGUGCUGGUGAAUUGGGCCAGCUCUGGAGAAUUUGAACAUAUAGACAGAGGGCAUGAUGUCUGACUUCUCCAGGCACUAUUGCAUCCCAGUCCGACUUUCCUAGGAUCACUUCGGGCAUAGUUGCUAGGGCCACUCAGAGAGAGAGAAUCCUGA